UACGGGGGGGCAAGGCGUUGUUCGGAAUUACUGGGCGUAAAGGGCUCGUAGGCGGCCAACUAAGUCAGACGUGAAAUCCCUCGGCUUAACCGGGAACUGCGUCUGAUACUGGAUGGCUUGAGUUUGGGAGAGGGAUGCGGAAUUCCAGGUGUAGCGGUGAAAUGCGUAGAUAUCUGGAGGAACACCGGUGGCGAAGGCGGCAUCCUGGACCAACACUGACGCUGAGUGAGCGAAAGCCAGGGGAGCAAACGGG
rnacentral:rRNA from 1 species